rnacentral:rRNA from 1 species
AUUAAACGCUGGCGGCAUGCCUUACACAUGCAAGUCGAACGGCAGCACGGGGGCAACCCUGGUGGCGAGUGGCGGACGGGUGAGUAAAGCAUCGGAACGUAUCCUGGAGUGGGGGAUAACGUAGCGAAAGUUACGCUAAUACCGCAUAUUCUGUGAGCAGGAAAGCAGGGGAUCGCAAGACCUUGCGCUCUGGGAGCGGCCGAUGUCGGAUUAGCUAGUUGGUGGGUAAAGGCCUACCAAGGCGACGAUCCGUAGCGGGUCUGAGAGGAUGAUCCGCCACACUGGGACUGAGACACGGCCCAGACUCCUACGGGAGGCAGCAGUGGGAAUUUUGGACAAUGGGCGCAAGCCUGAUCCAGCCAUGGCCGCGUGAGUGAAGAA